GAUGAACGCUAGCGGCAGGCCUAACACAUGCAAGUCGAGGGGUAACAGAGAAGCUUGCUUCUGCUGACGACCGGCGCACGGGUGCGUAACGCGUAUGCAACCUACCUCAUACAGGAGAAUAGCCCUUGGAAACGAGGAUUAAUACUCCAUAGUAUCAUUCUUUCGCAUGUUAGAAUGAUUAAAGAAUUUCGGUAUGAGAUGGGCAUGCGUCCCAUUAGCUUGUUGGUGAGGUAACGGCUCACCAAGGCAACGAUGGGUAGGGGGCCUGAGAGGGUGGUCCCCCACACUGGUACUGAGACACGGACCAGACUCCUACGGGAGGCAGCAGUGAGGAAUAUUGGUCAAUGGUGGAAACUCUGAACCAGCCAUGCCGCGUGAAGGAUGACGGCCCUAUGGGUUGUAAACUUCUUUUAUAUGGGAAGAAACUUAUCUACGUGUAGAUAACUGACGGUACCAUACGAAUAAGGAUCGGCUAACUCCGUG
rnacentral:rRNA from 1 species